GCCAGUGAUGAAGGUUUUUUGGUUGACUGAGAUGCAAAACUGUAAUAUUUGCAUUGAUGUUGAUAAUUUUUUGAACUAGGACGGUCUGAGGC